ACGAACGCUGGCGGCACGCUUAACACAUGCAAGUCGAACGAGAGAAGAGAAGCUUGCUUUUCUGAUCUAGUGGCGGACGGGUGAGUAACACGUGAGCAAUCUGCCUUUCAGAGGGGGAUACCGAUUGGAAACGAUCGUUAAUACCGCAUAAUAUAAUUGAACCGCAUGAUUUGAUUAUCAAAGAUUUAUCGCUGAAAGAUGAGCUCGCGUCUGAUUAGCUAGUUGGUAAGGUAACGGCUUACCAAGGCGACGAUCAGUAGCCGGACUGAGAGGUUGAUCGGCCACAUUGGGACUGAGACACGGCCCAGACUCCUACGGGAGGCAGCAGUGGGGAAUAUUGCACAAUGGAGGAAACUCUGAUGCAGCGAUGCCGCGUGAGGGAAGAAGGUUUUAGGAUUGUAAACCUCUGUCUUCAGGGACGAAAAAAGACGGUACCUGAGGAGGAAGCUCCGGCUAACUACGUGCCAGCAGCCGCGGUAAUACGUAGGGAGCGAGCGUUGUCCGGAAUUACUGGGUGUAAAGGGAGCGUAGGCGGGAUCGCAAGUCAGAUGUGAAAACUAUGGGCUUAACCCAUAAACUGCAUUUGAAACUGUGGUUCUUGAGUGAAGUAGAGGUAAGCGGAAUUCCUAGUGUAGCGGUGAAAUGCGUAGAUAUUAGGAGGAACAUCAGUGGCGAAGGCGGCUUACUGGGCUUUAACUGACGCUGAGGCUCGAAAGCGUGGGGAGCAAACAGGAUUAGAUACCCUGGUAGUCCACGCCGUAAACGAUGAUUACUAGGUGUGGGGGGACUGACCCCUUCCGUGCCGCAGCAAACGCAAUAAGUAAUCCACCUGGGGAGUACGACCGCAAGGUUGAAACUCAAAGGAAUUGACGGGGGCCCGCACAAGCAGUGGAGUAUGUGGAUUAAUUCGAAGCAACGCGAAGAACCUUACCAGGUCUUGACAUCGUAUGCAUAGCUCAGAGAUGAGUGAAAUCUCUUCGGAGACAUAUAGACAGGUGGUGCAUGGUUGUCGUCAGCUCGUGUCGUGAGAUGUUGGGUUAAGUCCCGCAACGAGCGCAACCCUUACUGUUAGUUGCUACGCAAGAGCACUCUAGCAGGACUGCCGUUGACAAAACGGAGGAAGGUGGGGAUGACGUCAAAUCAUCAUGCCCCUUAUGACCUGGGCCUCACACGUACUACAAUGGCUGUCAACAGAGGGAAGCAAAGCCGCGAGGUGGAGCGAACCCCUAAAAGCAGUCUUAGUUCGGAUUGUAGGCUGCAACUCGCCUACAUGAAGUCGGAAUUGCUAGUAAUCGCAGAUCAGCAUGCUGCGGUGAAUACGUUCCCGGGCCUUGUACACACCGCCCGUCACGCCAUGGGAGUCGGUAACACCCGAAGCCUGUAGUCUAACCGCAAGGAGGACGCAGUCGAAGGUGGGAUUGAUGACUGGGGUG
rnacentral:rRNA from 1 species